rnacentral:rRNA from 1 species
GAUGAACGCUAGCGGCAGGCUUAAUACAUGCAAGUCGAACGGUAAGUAGUGUAGCAAUACAUUACCAAGAGUGACGUACGGGUGCGUAACACGUAUGCAACCUACCUUGUACAGGAGUAUAGCUCGGGGAAACUCGAAUUAACCCUCCAUAAGAUCGUGGUGUGGCAUCACACAGCGAUAAAAACUCAGGUGGUACAAGCUGGGCAUGCGUCUGAUUAGAGUUGGCGGGGUAACGGCCCACCAAGACGAUGAUCAGUAGGGGAACUGAGAGGUUGAU